UGUAUACAAACUAGAGCCCGUGCGGCAACAAAAACAAAAAAACAAGAAAUGUUUUUGCACACAAACGUUUUGUGCAUCGCACAUUCUAGGAUACGAGCGGCUUUUGCGUUUUUGUUUGCUUUUUUGGACUUUAUUUUAAACAGUCGAGGCAACGGGGCCCGUGCCUAGAAGCAGGGUUUAUUUUUGCUAUUGAUUUGCAUUUUGCCUUGGCUGUUGCUGUUGCAAUUUCUGUGCGCAUUUUGGUUGCACUGCUGCGAAUGUGGGCCACAAAAACGAAAGAGAGAGCAAAUUCCAAGCCGGCCGGCCGGCAGGCAGGCAGGCCGCCAGGCCACUUUCCGUCUAAUUGAGGAGAGCACUCCAAGAGGAGAACAACAGAAGCGCCUCCGGUAGGCAAGGUGGGGUUAAGAUGAGAUGCGAAGAGUGCUGCCACUCAAUUUCCAGACAGACGGAUAGGCGGGCAGACAGACAUCUGCCAAGUGGCAACGCUGGUGGAGAUGCACCGUUGUUGCUUGUCUUAUUACUUUUUAUACUCUUGCAGAGAGUUGUGUACUACUAUUUCUUCUUCUAGUUUGUACUCGCUUAUGGGAAAUUAGUUUCCUCGGGUGUGGUAUUCGAUCUACAAGGGUAUUUAAACCAUCGUUUAGCUUCUGUUUUGGUCGUUUUUCUUAUGUAAUGCUUGGACGCACACACGAACGGGCCAGCGUGCGAGCGAGACGCGAAAUAUAAAUGGUUCGGAUUUAGCGCAAAGUUUACUGCUUCAGCAGCACUACGCUUUCUACUACACUUUUUGCAUGCCUGAGUCGAAGCCACGGGAGCCACUGAGUGCCUUAUGCACUUAUUGUUCUUAUUAUUUCUUUGAUUGUUGUUGUAGUGGCUGUAUGCUGCUCGCUGUGCCGUGGCGUGCAACGAACCGCAGCGUUGGAGCCGCACAGCGUGCACACAGGGUACACCUCAGGUCUCUACCACCCUCGCAAGUAGAAGAAAUGGGCAGGAGAAAGGUACUACUAGGCAAAAGAGAAAUAGCUUGAAGUUUGCCGACUAUGAACUCUGUCUGAUGGGACGUUUCCUUUAACGUUUCAAUUGUCAUUAGCUACAAUUUUCCAGGCGAUAGACCCCGUCCAUGUCCGUCGUCCGCCCCA
rnacentral:sRNA from 1 species